rnacentral:misc_RNA from 1 species
AAGAGACGUUGCCCUUCGGGGUAUACCUCCCACCCUUUGUUUAUUAUACCUUUGUUGCUUUGGCGGGCCCGUCCUCGGACCACCGGCUUCUGCUGGUCAGUGCCCGCCAGGAGGACCUAAAACUCUGUUUGUUAAUAUUGUCUGAGUACUAUAUAAUAGUUA